UUAAAGGAGACUUUCUACCUGCAAUUUGUUUUUGAAUCAAUCGGAUGAGACCAUUGAGGAGCCCCCAGAUAAUAUGAAUUCCCAUGAUCCGUUCCAUUUCGGAUUUUUUUUUUUAAUUACUUGCAUCGCUGGAUUUUGUUCCCGUAACUCUAGAAUGCAAGAAAAACCUGCCGUGUCACCCGACAAGAUUGCUCUUAACGUUUCCAGGAGCGGUUCGUGGCCGUGCCCUCCAGCCUCCUUGGGACAGACGUGUGAGGAUGACCGUCGAUUUGGUACAAUUCCAUGUGCUGUUUGGGCGCGUUCGUCUUUCAGGCGAACUCUUCAGUUUCAGUCGGUGAAUGGAAAAGAAACUUGCUUUGCCGCUGUUGCUCUUCCUGGUUUUUGA
rnacentral:lncRNA from 1 species